CCUACGGGUGGCUGCAGUCGAGAAUCAUUCACAAUGGGGGAAACCCUGAUGGUGCGACGCCGCGUGGGGGAAUGAAGGUCUUCGGAUUGUAAACCUCUGUCAUGUGGGAGCAAAUGAAAAAGAUAGCACCCCACGAGGAAGAGACGGCUAACCCUCUGCCAGAAGCCGCGGGAAUCCAGAGGUCUCAAGCGGUGUUCGGAAUCACUGGGCGUAAAGCGUGCGUAGGCUGUUUCGUGAGUCGAGUGUGAAAGGCGCGGGUUCAACCCGCGGCCGGCACAUGAUACUGCGGGACUAGAGUAAUGGAGAGGGAACCGGAAUGCUCGGUGUAGCAGUGAAAUGCGUAGAUAUCGAGAAGAACACUCGUGGCGAAGGCAGGUUCCUGGACAUUAACUGACGCUGAGGCACGAAGGCCAGGGGAGCGAAAGGGAUUAGAUACCCGAGUAGUC
rnacentral:rRNA from 1 species